rnacentral:rRNA from 1 species
UCGAACGGCAGCACGGGUGCUUGCACCUGGUGGCGAGUGGCGAACGGGUGAGUAAUACAUCGGAACAUGUCCUGUAGUGGGGGAUAGCCCGGCGAAAGCCGGAUUAAUACCGCAUACGAUCUAUGGAUGAAAGCGGGGGACCUUCGGGCCUCGCGCUAUAGGGUUGGCCGAUGGCUGAUUAGCUAGUUGGUGGGGUAAAGGCCUACCAAGGCGACGAUCAGUAGCUGGUCUGAGAGGACGACCAGCCACACUGGGACUGAGACACGGCCCAGACUCCUACGGGAGGCAGCAGUGGGGAAUUUUGGACAAUGGGCGAAAGCCUGAUCCAGCAAUGCCGCGUGUGUGAAGAAGGCCUUCGGGUUGUAAAGCACUUUUGUCCGGAAAGAAAUCCUUGGUUCUAAUAUAGCCGGGGGAUGACGGUACCGGAAGAAUAAGCACCGGCUAACUACGUGCCAGCAGCCGCGGUAAUACGUAGGGUGCGAGCGUUAAUCGGAAUUACUGGGCGUAAAGCGUGCGCAGGCGGUUUGCUAAGACCGAUGUGAAAUCCCCGGGCUCAACCUGGGAACUGCAUUGGUGACUGGCAGGCUAGAGUAUGGCAGAGGGGGGUAGAAUUCCACGUGUAGCAGUGAAAUGCGUAGAGAUGUGGAGGAAUACCGAUGGCGAAGGC